rnacentral:lncRNA from 1 species
GUGAAAAGUAGCGAUUUUCGUAGAAACAGUUGUCGUAUUUAAACGCCUUUAAAAAAUCUUACUACUGCCAAUUUGGGAAAGCUGCCUUUCUUCUGACCAAGCCUCCCGGGGACUCCUGGGUCCCUCAAGUUUCCUGCAGCAAGAGGAGGAUGAUACCUAACUUGCCGUGCUGUUCCUCAUUAGCAUCACUGAAUCAAUCGGUGCCUACAUCAAACUAACAGUUCAACUGAGACCCAGUCACGAAAGAAGCCAUGGAUGGAAACCCUGGGUGUUUUGCCUGUUUUUAGAACAAAAUGCACCAUGUCUUUUUUCAUGAAAUAGUAACUUCUGAAAUCACUUAGCAUCACCCAUCAUGACAGUUAAAUUUCCCAGAAAACUGGAUAUUACACAGCUUUUAUUUUAUGAGGGUCAUUAUGAGCCCAUAAGGAAAACCAAGAAUUUCUGAACA